rnacentral:rRNA from 1 species
AACGAACGCUGGCGGCAUGCCUAACACAUGCAAGUCGAACGAGACCUUCGGGUCUAGUGGCGCACGGGUGCGUAACGCGUGGGAACCUGCCCUUAGGUUCGGAAUAACUCCCCGAGAGGGGUGCUAAUACCGGAUAAUGUCUUCGGACCAAAGAUUUAUCGCCUUUGGAUGGGCCCGCGUUGGAUUAGCUAGUUGGUAGAGUAAAAGCCUACCAAGGCGACGAUCCAUAGCUGGUCUGAGCGGAUGAUCAGCCACACUGGGACUGAGACACGGCCCAGACUCCUACAGGAGGCAGCAGUGGGGAAUAUUAGACAAUGGGCGAAAGCCUGAUCCAGCAAUGCCGCGUGAGUGAUGAAGGCCUUAGGGUUGUAAAGCUCUUUUACCCGGGAUGAUAAUGACAGUACCGGGAGAAUAAGCUCCGGCUAACUCCGUG